AUUGAACGCUGGCGGCAGGCCUAACACGCGCAAGUCGAGCGGAUGAAGAGAGCUUGCUCUCUGAUUUAGCGGCGGACGGGUGAGUAAUGCCUAGGAAUCUGCCUGGUAGUGGGGGAUAACGUUCCGAAAGGAACGCUAAUACCGCAUACGUCCUACGGGAGAAAGCAGGGGACCUUCGGGCCUUGCGCUAUCAGAUGAGCCUAGGUCGGAUUAGCUAGUUGGUGAGGUAAUGGCUCACCAAGGCUACGAUCCGUAACUGGUCUGAGAGGAUGAUCAGUCACACUGGAACUGGGACACGGUCCAGACGCCUACGGGAGGCAGCAGUGGGGAAUAUUGGACAAUGGGCGAAAGCCUGAUCCAGCCAUGCCGCGUGUGUGAAGAAGGUCUUCGGAUUGUAAAGCACUUUAAGUUGGGAGGAAGGGCAGUAAGUUAAUACCUUGCUGUUUUGACGUUACCGACAGAAUAAGCACCGGCUAACUUCGUGCCAGCCGCCGCGGUAACAC
rnacentral:rRNA from 1 species